UGGGAUUUAGCUCAGUGGUGCCGCUGCCUGCCUCAGAAGUAGAAGGUCCUGAGUUCGAUCCCCAGAACCCCAA
rnacentral:tRNA from 1 species